GACACUUGACUGGUUACUCGCCGCAGCAGUUUCUGGAUGAAAGGUGUCGAGCUCGUCAAGUACUAAGCUUUACACCCCCCAGCAGCAAAUUUACCCUGGCAGCAUAUGGGUGAAAACGCUGGAGGAGAAAGUCAUCGCUCUGUAAUUGGCCCUUGGACUCCCCUGGCAUCUCGUGUACAGCAUGAAGUUUUCAGCUAUGAAGAUUUCCAGAGAUUCCAGAAUGAAAAACAAGCCCUUAGGGAGGAGAACCAAGCCCUUAGGAAGGAGAACCAAGCCCUUAGGGAGGAGAACCAAGCUCUGAGGGAGGAGAACCAAGCUCUGAGGGAAAGCACUGCACGAGCAGCUUCGGAUGACAGCGGCUCACUUCAAGAGCAGGUGAAGCAAGUUGGGACAAUGUUGAAGACGUUUGCUCGCACUGGGCAAUCAGGUGCAGAUCAGACCUUAAUGCUGCGACGUCUUGGAGAGUUUGGCGAUGUUGUGCCUAGCAUGGACAACAAAAUGGACACUAUGCUGCAACAUUUCAGUGCCAAUGUGUCUGUUGGAGAGUUAUCCCUGCCAGGGGAUCUGUUACUCCCCCUAGACACCCAGGAAGAUUUGGCGUUGCUUGACAACAGUUUGAGGCAGGAUAAAGAGCUCCAGGAACGAUUUCUUCGGUUUUUGGCAAUCAAAUGUGGGAGGGACCUAAAGACAACCGUCUGGCGGAUGCUUCAAAGUAUCUUCUCUAAUCACCUUUCCAUCAAUACAACCUGGACUGGAGUUGGGGAUAAAGCAUGUUUUAGAGACAUGUUCCUGAAGACCAUUGUUCAAAGUAAGUUGGAUGUAAAAAAAAAAAAAAAAAAAAUGUUUAGUAGAUGUGUAUGGCAUUAUGCCAUUCAAAUGGAAUGA
rnacentral:lncRNA from 1 species